rnacentral:rRNA from 1 species
GAUCCUGGCUCAGGAUGAACGCUAGCUACAGGCUUAACACAUGCAAGUCGAGGGGAAACGACAUCGAAAGCUUGCUUUUGAUGGGCGUCGACCGGCGCACGGGUGAGUAACGCGUAUCCAACCUGCCCAUCACUUGGGAAUAACCUUGCGAAAGUAAGACUAAUACCCAAUGAUAUCCCACGAAGGCAUCCGAAUGGGAUUAAAGAUUUUAUCGGUGAUGGAUGGGGAUGCGUCUGAUUAG